rnacentral:rRNA from 1 species
AUUCCAGCUCCAAUAGCGUAUAUUAAAGUUGUUGUGGUUAAAAAGCUCGUAGUUGGAUCUCGGCGGUCUGAGGGCGGUUCGCUUCAGAGCGCUACUGCCCUAUAGACCGUAGUUUUGCCAGAGGUCUCAGGGUGCUCUUAACCGAGUGUCUUGCGAUGCUGGCAGGUUUACUUUGAAAAAAUUAGAGUGCUCAAAGCAGGCUUUUACGCCUGAAUAUUCGUGCAUGGAAUAAUAGAAUAGGAAGUCGUUUCUAUUUUGUUGGUUUUCGGAAAUCGACUUAAUGAUUAAUAGGGACAGUCAGGGGCACUCGUAUUCCGCCGAGAGAGGUGAAAUUCUCAGACCAGCGGAAGACGAACCACUGCGAAAGCAUUUGCCAGGGAUGUCUUCAUCG